GCUACUGUCACCCACGUCCUUGAUCUGCCAUCGAGCAGAUGUGAGAGAACGUGCGCCAGGGUGGAGCAUCCUGCCUGGUGUGCGAGGAAACCGAGAGGACGUCAUGACCAUCGAGGAAGCGCUCGCCCUGCCCGUCGCGGUUAAGUUCGACGACUCGAACCGAGCCCUCGGCCUUGGGCGGACCACGGCGUACGAGUUGGCGCGGCGCGAUGAGUACCCGCUGCCGCUGCUCAGGCUCGGCCGGAGCUACCGCGUCCGGCGAGCGGACAUCCUCCGCUACCUGGGCAUCGAGGACCAGAUCACCGCCGCCCCCGCGGCGGCAUGAAAUCGGCCCCCACCAGGGACGCCACAUCCCCGGUGAGGGCCUAGCGCCACCCCUUCCCCUGCAACAGCACGGGCCCCGGAUCGCGACCAAACGAAGCCCGGGGCCCUGCCGAAAGAAAGAGAACGACGCAUGCCCAUGAUGGCAGAAACCGCCGCCAUCCCGUCGACGCUGCUCGACGCCGACCGCGCCGCCACCGACCCGGCCGCCGCCGAUCAGCGGGCCCGCACCCUCGUCGGUUCCGUCGAGGCGAACGCAGUCGCCACCGCCGAGACCGCCAUCGGCGCCGCCCUGUACGCCGCCCACUCCGGUCCCGACCGCAACCCCGCGCCCGGUGUCCGCAUUGGACGCGCCGCCAACGCCGUGCAGGACGUCACCGCCCGCGCCCGCGCCGCGAACACCGGCCUGCCCCUGUCGGACGCCUACCUGCACCAGUUCCACCACGCCGCCGAGCAGUGGCGCCAGCACGCCCGCGCCGAGGCCCUCGCGGCCGGUGGCGACGAGGACCAGGCCGACCGCUUCGCCCUGGCCACCAUGCGCGCCCUCGUCCGCGCGAUGGAGGCCGGCCAGUGACCAGCACCCCGCGCGAACUGCGCCGCCGCCACCUGGCAGCCCUCCGCACGCCGCCGCUGGCUUGCGGUCACCGAGACCCCAUCCGGUGUGCCGUCGUCCCGCACGGCCGUUCCUCGUACGGCCUGACCGUGCGCGAGCUGCUCGCCGAGCGAUCCCGCCUGCUCACCGCCGGAUGGACCCCCGGCGAGGUCGACACUCGUUUGAACGCGCGGGAGGCGAUCGCAGCAUGACCGCGCCCCGCCUGAACCCCGCCGCAACCGACGCCGUCGCCCUGUGGGCAUCCGCCCAGGUGACCGCGCUCGGAGUCGACACAUGGCCGCCCUAUGGCUCGCCCGCCUGGCGAGCCCUCGUCACCGACGACCCACGCAAGGCCGCCGCCAUCUUCGAGGCCGCCGAGCAGUGGCGCCAGCACCGCGCCGAGGCCGACGAACUCGACCGCCUACUCGUCGACGACCCCGAAGCGUGGUUCCGCUGGGUGACCGCCGACGCGGACGCCGAGGCACGCCGCAUCGCGCCCGCCCUGGCGAAACGGCCCACGGUCGCCGAGACGAGGGCCCGCGCCGGCCACCGCCCGCCGCGACCCGUCACCGCCACGCCCGGAUGGCCGCCCGUCGCCGUCCCUGGCCGCCCCGACUACCGCCGCCACUUUGUCGAGGGGCGCCAAGUCGACCUCCCCGCCAGCCACCGCCAGGAGCACGCCGCCUGAUGACCCCCGCCGCCUACGGCGACGCCGUGCCACCCGCCGGGCCCGAGCCCGAGCGGGUGGUACCGCUGUUCCGCCACCUGUCGCCCGACUACGAACCGCCGCCCGCCGAGACGCAGGCCGAGGCGCCGCACCUUCCGGCGCCCACCCACCCGAUGGCCGUUGCCCGCGCGCUGCUGCCCGCAUGGCAGGCCCACGGCAUGCCAUCGCUCCGCUACUGGCGCGGUCAGUGGAUGCGGUGGCGCGGACCGCACUGGGACGAGGAAGACAGUGCAGCGAUGCGCGCCGACCUCUACCCGCGUCUCGAACACGCCACAUACACCGCGACCGAUCGCAACGGCCAGGAGAGGACCGCGGAAUGGGCGCCCACGUCCGCCAAGGUCGCGAACCUCAUGGAGGCCCUGGCCGCGAUCGUGCACCUGCCCGGUGACGUCGAGCCUCCGACGUGGCUCGCCGCCCCCGACCGCGAGGGCGAACGCCGAACGAUCGUCGCGUGCCGGAACGGCCUGCUCGACGUCACCACACGUGCCCUGCACCCGCUCACGCCUGCCUACUUCAACCGCGUCUCCGUCCCCUUCGACUACGACCCGGAGACCCCGACCCCGGCGCGGUGGAUCGGCUUCCUACGCUCCGUUUGGACCGACGACCCGGAAGCCAUCGACGCCCUACAGGAGUGGUUCGGAUACGUCCUGUCCGGACGGACCGACCUGCACAAGAUGCUGUUGAUCGUCGGCCCCAUGCGCUCCGGAAAGGGCACCAUCGCCCGCACCCUCACCGCCCUCGUCGGGAAACGCAACAUGUCCGGCCCGACCAUGUCGAGCCUCGCCACGAACUUCGGUCUGGCCGACCUCGUCGGCAAGUCCCUGGCCGUCGUCGCCGAUGCUCGCCUACCUCGCCAGGGCACCGAGACGAUCGUCGAGCGGCUGCUCACCAUCACCGGUGAGGACGCCGUCACCGUCGACCGCAAGCACAAAGAACCGUGGUCUGGCCGUCUCCCGGCGCGGUUCAUGCUGCUGUCCAACGAACUGCCGGCGUUCCGCGACUCAUCAGGCGCGAUCGCAUCCCGGUUGCUCAUCCUCACCAUGACGAUCAGCAACCUCGGCCGCGAGGACACGUCCCUUGACCGCGACCUCUCGCGCGAACUGCCUGGCAUCCUCAACUGGGCACUCGACGGACUCGACCGGCUCACCCGCCGUGGGCGCCUCGUCGAGCCCGCCUCGUCGGCCGAAGCCGUAGCCCUGCUCAACGCCAGCACCAGCCCGAUCCGCGCCUUCCUCGCCGACUGGUGCCAUCUCGACCCCGAAGCCAGCACCCCGAAGGACGAGCUGUACGAGAUGUGGCGCGAUUGGUGCCGUACGGAGGGGCGCGACCACCCGGGCACCAAGCCCACAUUCAGCCGUGACCUGUUCGCCGCAGGUCUCGGCAUCAAGGAAUCCAAGAUCCGCAUCGGUGGCAUCCGGACACCGUCGUACGUAGGCGUCCGACUCGACCGCCCAACACCGCGCCCCGGGUGGUCCGGGUAGCGGUCCGGGAUCGGUCCGGGCGUUAU
rnacentral:rRNA from 1 species